rnacentral:rRNA from 1 species
GCCCUAGUAACGGCGAGUGAAGCGGCAACAGCUCAAAUUUGAAAUCUGGCGCAAGCCCGAGUUGUAAUUUGUAGAGGAUGCUUCUGGGUAGCGGCCGGUCUAAGUUCCUUGGAACAGGACGUCAUAGAGGGUGAGAAUCCCGUAUGUGACUGGCUUGCACCCUCCACGUAGCUCCUUCGACGAGUCGAGUUGUUUGGGAAUGCAGCUCUAAAUGGGAGGUAAAUUUCUUCUAAAGCUAAAUACCGGCCAGAGACCGAUAGCGCACAAGUAGAGUGAUCGAAAGAUGAAAAGCACUUUGGAAAGAGAGUUAAAAAGCACGUGAAAUUGUUGAAAGGGAAGCGCCCGCAACCAGACUUUGCGGCAGUGUUCGGCCGGUCUUCUGACCGGUUUACUCGCUGUCGUGAGGCCAUCAUCGUCUGGGACCGCUGGAUAAGACCUUAGGAAUGUGGCUCCCCUCGGGGAGUGUUAUAGCCUCUGGUGAUGCAGCGCGUCUCGGGCGAGGUCCGCGCUUCGGCAAGGAUGAUGGCGUAAUGGUUGUCGGCGGCCCGUCUUGAAACACGGACCAAGGAGUCUAACAUCUAUGCGAGUGUUCGGGUGUCAAACCCCUACGCGUAAUGAAAGUGAACGGAGGUGGGAACUUUUUGUGCACCAUCGACCGAUCCUGAUGUCCUCGGAUGGAUUUGAGUAAGAGCAUAGCUGUUGGGACCCGAAAGAUGGUGAACUAUGCCUGAAUAGGGUGAAGCCAGAGGAAACUCUGGUGGAGGCUCGCAGCGGUUCUGACGUGCAAAUCGAUCGUCAAAUUUGGGUAUA